rnacentral:rRNA from 1 species
GACGAACGCUGGAGGCGUGCUUAACACAUGCAAGUCGAACGAUGAAAUGGAGCUUGCUCCAUGGAUUAGUGGCGAACGGGUGAGUAACACGUGAAUAACCUGCCCUUAAUUUUGGAAUAACCCAGGGAAACCUGGGCUAAUACCGGAUAAGUAAACCUGUGGCAUCACAGGGUUUGGGAAAGUUUUUCGAUUAAGGAUGGAUUCGCGGCCUAUCAGCUUGUUGGCGAGGUAAUGGCUCACCAAGGCGACGACGGGAAGCCGGCCUGAGAGGGUGAACGGCCAAAAUGGGACUGAGACACGGCCCAGACUCCUACGGGAGGCAGCAGUGGGGAAUAUUGCGCAAGGGACGAAAGUCUGACGCAGCGACGCCUCGUGAGGGACGAAGGUCUUCGGAUUGUAAACCUCUUUCAGCAGGGACGAAGCGAAAGUGACGGUACCUGCAGAAGAAGCACCGGCUAACUAUGUGCCAGCCGCCGCCGUAA